rnacentral:rRNA from 2 species
UAGAAGCUUGCUUCUAUGACGUGUAGCGGCGGACGGGUGAGUAACACGUGGGCAACCUGCCUGUAAGACUGGGAUAACUUCGGGAAACCGAAGCUAAUACCGGAUAGGAUCUUCUCCUUCAUGGGAGAUGAUUGAAAGAUGGUUUCGGCUAUCACUUACAGAUGGGCCCGCGGUGCAUUAGCUAGUUGGUGAGGUAACGGCUCACCAAGGCAACGAUGCAUAGCCGACCUGAGAGGGUGAUCGGCCACACUGGGAUUGAGACACCGCCCAGACUCCUACGGGAGGCAGCAGUAUUCGAAUCUUGCGCAAUGGACGAAAGUCUGACGGAGCAACGCCGCGUGAGUGAUGAAGGCUUUCGGGUCGUAAAAGUCUGUUGUUAGGGAAGAACAAGUACGAGAGUAACUGCUCGUACCUUGACGGUACCUAACCAGAAAGCCACGGCUAACUACGUGCCAGCAGCCGCGGUAAUACGUAGGUGGCAAGCGUUAUCCGGAAUUAUUGGGCGUAAAGCGUACGCAGGCGGUUUCUUAAGUCUGAUGUGAAAGCCCACGGCUCAACCGUGGAGGGUCAUUGGAAACUGGGGAACUUGAGUGCAGAAGAGGAAAGCGGAAUUCCACGUGUAGCGGUGCGAAUGCGUAGAGAUGUGGAGGAACACCAGUGGCGAAGGCGGCUUUUUGGUCUGUAACUGACGCUGAGGGCCGCGAAAGCGACGGGAGCAAACAGGAUUAGAUACCCCUGCGUAGUCCACGCC